GCCAGCGUAGUGUAAUGGCUUCAUUGUUAGAAUACGACUCUGGAGACCAGAGUUCAAUUCUCAGCUCGGUCA